rfam:Otolemur garnettii contig038274, whole genome shotgun sequence.
CUACCGCGAGGGCGUCGUUGCGGGCCCUGGGUCCCGGGAGAGGUUCCCGGAGCCCACCUUUCCGCCAGCGGCGUCGUGACGGCUUCCCAGGUCUGCCCUCUUUGCGGGGGUCCCCGCAUCCGCGCUGGGGCCCCAGGUAACGGCCGU